CGUGUAAAGGAGUCUUCAAGAUAUGCUUUGGAGGUCUUGUCUGAAGAUUUGCCUGCUACUAUUGCUAAAAUUUCAUUUCCAAAGACAAUGCAUUGGAAUUCUCAGGUGAUGUUUAGCAGGCCUAUCCGUUGGAUUUUAGCUCUGCAUGGAGAUGUAGUAGUCCCAUUUACGUUUGCUGGUGUG